GAAUGGAAUCACCAUCAUUAUCAAGAAGCAUUUUGUUUUGCACACUACCCCUGUUUUCUAUCUGUGCCACUGGAUGUGUGCCUCACUGAUGAAAUUCACAACAGAAAUGCUUUGGGGGUCACUGGUACUGACUCACUGAGACCUCACAGCCACUGCAGAAACUCUUGGUGCCUGCAUGGCCUGGGACCUGGCUCCUUAACAACCUCCAGUCCUAUUGGACAUUUGAGAAUCCCUGUAGUGUACAGGCCUCACCGGGAAAGGGCUUCAGGAGACUGUACUGCAGUUCUGCUGUCGUGGAUAGAGGAAAGGGUAUCAUGAAGUCAGUUAAAAAUGGAAGUGAAAAGAAACUAACACGGCAUCAGCAUGGUCAGCCUCUCAUGCUUAUCACAAAGUCCAGUCAGGUCUACAUCUCAAGCAUCCUGCAAAUCUGCCGCUGGCCUCUGCCCCAUCGGUUUCCUUUCCACCCCAGCUAUAUUAUGAAAAGAUUCACCUUGCCCCACAUUAAUGAAGCCAGCCUCGGAGGCACCUGGGAAAUAAAUGGCAAAAAUAAAGUGAUCAUGUAUGUUCAU
rnacentral:lncRNA from 1 species